GAUGAACGCUGGCGGCGUGCCUAAUACAUGCAAGUCGAGCGAAUGGAUUAAGAGCUUGCUCUUAUGAAGUUAGCGGCGGACGGGUGAGUAACACGUGAGUAACCUGCCCAUAAGACUGGGAUAACUCCGGGAAACCGGGGCUAAUACCGGAUAACAUUUUGAACUGCAUGGUUCGAAAUUGAAAGGCGGCUUCGGUUGUCACUUAUGGAUGGACCCGGGUCGCAUUAGCUAGUUGGUGAGGUAACGGCUCACCAAGGCAACGAUGCGUAGCCGACCUGAGAGGGUGAUCGGCCACACUGGGACUGAGACACGGCCCAGACUCCUACGGGAGGCAGCAGUAGGGAACCUUCCGCAAUGGACGAAAGUCUGACGGAGCAACGCCGCGUGAGUGAUGAAGGCUUUCGGGUCGUAAAACUCUGUUGUUAGGGAAGAACAAGUGCUAGUUGAAUAAGCUGGCACCUUGACGGUACCUAACCAGAAAGCCACGGCUAACUACGUGCCAGCCGCCGCCGUAA
rnacentral:rRNA from 1 species